AGGAGUGAGUGGUAAGCUGGUG
rnacentral:miRNA from 1 species